UACGUAGGGGGCAAGCGUUGUCCGGAAUCAUUGUGCGUAAAGAGCUCGUAGGCGGCCUGUUGCGUCCGCUGUGAAAGCCCGGGGCUUAACCCCGGGUCGGCAGUGGAUACGGGCAGGCUAGAGGUAGGUAGGGGAGAAUGGAAUUCCCGGUGUAGCGGUGAAAUGCGCAGAUAUCGGGAGGAACACCGGUGGCGAAGGCGGUUCUCUGGGCCUUACCUGACGCUGAGGAGCGAAAGCGUGGGGAGCGAACAGG
rnacentral:rRNA from 1 species